rnacentral:rRNA from 1 species
UAAGACCUUGCGCUUUUUGAGCGGCCGAUGCCUGAUUAGCUUGUUGGUGGGGUAAAGGCUUACCAAGGCAACGAUCAGUAGCUGGUCUGAGAGGACGACCAGCCACACUGGGACUGAGACACGGCCCAGACUCCUACGGGAGGCAGCAGUGGGGAAUGUUGGACAAGCGGCGAAACCCUGAUCCAGCCAUGCCGCGUGGGUGAAGAAGGCCUUCGGGUUGUAAAGCUCUUUCGGUCGGGAAGAACUAGUUGCGGCUAAGAUCUGCAACAAAUGACGGUACCGCCAUAAGAAGCACCGGCUAACUACGUGCCAGCAGCCGCGGUAAUACGUAGGGUACAAGCGUUAAUCGGAAUUAUUGGGCGUAAAGGGUGCGCAGGUGGUUAUAUAAGUCAGAUGUGAAAUCCCUGGGCUUAACCUAGGAAUU